AGCUUGCUUCUCUUGAGAGCGGCGGACGGGUGAGUAAUGCCUAGGAAUCUGCCUGGUAGUGGGGGAUAACGUUCGGAAACGGACGCUAAUACCGCAUACGUCCUACGGGAGAAAGCAGGGGACCUUCGGGCCUUGCGCUACCAGAUGAGCCUAGGUCGGAUUAGCUAGUUGGUGAGGUAAUGGCUCACCAAGGCGACGAUCCGUAACUGGUCUGAGAGGAUGAUCAGUCACACUGGAACUGAGACACGGUCCAGACUCCUACGGGAGGCAGCAGUGGGGAAUAUUGGACAAUGGGCGAAAGCCUGAUCCAGCCAUGCCGCGUGUGUGAAGAAGGUCUUCGGAUUGUAAAGCACUUUAAGUUGGGAGGAAGGGCAGUUACCUAAUACGUGAUUGUUUUGACGUUACCGACAGAAUAAGCACCGGCUAACUCUGUGCCAGCAGCCGCGGUAAUACAGAGGGUGCAAGCGUUAAUCGGAAUUACUGGGCGUAAAGCGCGCGUAGGUGGUUUGUUAAGUUGGAUGUGAAAUCCCCGGGCUCAACCUGGGAACUGCAUUCAAAACUGACUGACUAGAGUGUGGUAGAGGGUGGUGGAAUUUCCUGUGUAGCGGUGAAAUGCGUAGAUAUAGGAAGGAACACCAGUGGCGAAGGCGACCACCUGGACCAACACUGACACUGAGGUGCGAAAGCGUGGGGAGCAAAC
rnacentral:rRNA from 1 species